GCUUCUUUAGUAUAGUCAGUACAGUUGACUUCCAAUCAACCAGCUCUGGUUCAGCCCAGAAAGAAGCA
rnacentral:tRNA from 1 species